AGCAGCCGCGGUAAUUCCAGCUCCAAUAGCGUAUAUUAAAGUUGUUGCAGUUAAAAAGCUCGUAGUUGAAUUUCGGGGUUCUACCGUUGGUCGGGCUAACCAGUCUGUACUAGCGUGUAAAAUUCCUACCUUCUGGAGAACCAUCAUGUUAUUAAUUUAGCGUGGUGGGAAACCAGGACCUUUACCUUGAAAAAAUUAGAGUGUUCAAAGCAGGCUUACGUCUGAAUACAUUAGCAUGGAAUAAUAGAAUAGGACGGUGGUCCUGUUUUGUUGGUUUCUGAAUCACCGUAAUGAUUAAUAGGGAUAGUUGGGGGCAUUAGUAUUCAAUUGUCAGAGGUGAAAUUCUUGGAUUUAUUGAAGACUAACUUCUGCGAAAGCAUUUGCCAAGGAUGUUUUCAUUAAUCAAGAACGAAAGUUAGGGGAUCGAAGACGAUCAGAUACCGUCGUAGUCUUAACCAUAAACUAUGCCGACUAGGGAUCGGACGAUGUUAAUUUUUAAUGUACUCAUUCGGCGUCCUUA
rnacentral:rRNA from 1 species